UUAAAGGAGAGAACUUUAUAAAAUGCGCUUGUUUGGCCUCCAUUCCUUUGCAUUCUAUUCUAUUUUUUCCCAUAAAAUUUCGAAAAUAACGUACAAAAUGUGUUAGAAUCAUGCCUGGCUUUCCCGAUAAAUUAUUAAUACACAUGCAAGAGAUUUUUGUGGUCAAAUCUUGUUUUGUGUGACAUUCCAAUUCUGCCCUUCCACUUAUUGAGCCAUUCCACGCACGUGCAAUUGGUUACCAACUCCCACCACCUAAAUUGUUUAUUCAUUAUUUUUGCAAUCAUGUGUUUGUACAUUAAUAAAAGACCACACGUAACUCGAGCAAUAAAAAAAAGACAUGCCAUUUUUUGCAACCAACAAAUCAGCUUGUAUAGUGCCAGUAAAAAACGACUCCCGAAAUGCGGAAAAAAAAAUCAUGUAAUUUUCCGACCAACAAAUUAUUUCACCGUCAAGUAGAC
rnacentral:lncRNA from 1 species